UAAAGAUACAGAGAAAAUGGGAAAUAAAUGAGAGAAGAGGAAAUCCAGUGAAAGCCAACCUGAAACAUGAGGUAAUGUUACUAGAGGGGUGUGUGUGCAGUAGAAUCAAUGUAGAUGAAACAUGAGGUAAUGUUACUAGAGGGGGGUGUGUGCAGUAGAAUCAAUGUAGAUGAAACAUGAGGUAAUGUUACUAGAGGGGUGUGUGUGCAGUAGAAUCAAUGUAGAUGAAACAUGAGGUAAUGUUACUAGAGGGGUGUGUGUGCAGUAGAAUCAAUGUAGAUGAAACAUGAGGUAAUGUUACUAGAGGGGUGUGUGUGCAGUAGAAUCAAUGUAGAUGAAACAUGAGGUAAUGUUACUAGAGGGGUGUGUGUGCAGUAGAAUCAAUGUAGAUGAAACAUGAGGUAAUGUUACUAGAGGGAUGUGUGUGCAGUAGAAUCAAUGUAGAUGAAACAUGAGGUAAUGUUACUAGAGGGGUGUGUGUGCAGUAGAAUCAAUGUAGAUGAAACAUGAGGUAAUGUUACUAGAGGGGUGUGUGUGCAGUAGAAUCAAUGUAGAUGAAACAUGAGGUAAUGUUACUAGAGGGGGGUGUGUGCAGUAGAAUCAAUGUAGAUGAAACAUGAGGUAAUGUUACUAGAGGGGUGUGUGUGCAGUAGAAUCAAUGUAGAUGAAACAUGAGGUAAUGUUACUAGAGGGGUGUGUGUGCAGUAGAAUCAAUGUAGAUGAAACAUGAGGUAAUGUUACUAGAGGGGUGUGUGUGCAGUAGAAUCAAUGUAGAUGAAACAUGAGGUAAUGUUACUAGAGGGGUGUGUGUGCAGUAGAAUCAAUGUAGAUGAAACAUGAGGUAAUGUUACUAGAGGGGUGUGUGUGUGCAGUAGAAUCAAUGUAGAUGAAACAUGAGGUAAUGUUACUAGAGGGGUGUGUGUGCAGUAGAUUCAAUGUAGAUGAAACAUGAGGUAAUGUUACUAGAGGGGUGUGUGUGCAGUAGAAUCAAUGUAGAUGAAACAUGAGGUAAUGUUACUAGAGGGGUGUGUGUGCAGUAGAAUCAAUGUAGAUGAAACAUGAGGUAAUGUUACUAGAGGGGUGUGUGUGCAGUAGAAUCAAUGUAAAUGAAACACGAGGUAAUGUUACUAGAGGGGUGUGUGUGUGCAGUAGAAUCAAUGGUUUGCAGUUUAACUUUAGUGCCUUAUUGCAAACAGGAUGCAUUCAUUUAGGUUAGGUUAGUAUCGUGGUGUAACUACAAUGUUGUUUAUCCAUCCUCAGUUUCCUAUCACAGUCUAUCACAGUCACCAUUGGCCUUAUGGUGAAAUCAAUGAGCGGUUUUCUUCCUCACUGGCAACUAAGUUAGGAAGGACGCCUGUAUUUUUGUAGUGACUGGGUGUAUCGAUACAUCAUCCAAAGUGUAAUUAAUAACUUCACCAUGCUCAAAGGGAAACUCAAUGUCUGCUUUAAAAAAAAUGUAAUCACCUAUCUACCAAUGAGUGCUCUUCUUUGCAAGGCAUUGGAAAACCUCCCUGGUCUUUGUGGUUGAAUCCAUGUUUGAAAUUCACUGCACGACUGAGGGACCUUAAAGAUAAUUGUAUGUGUGCGGUACAGAGAUGAGGUAGUCAUUUAAAAAUGAAUGUUAAGCACUAUUAAUCCACAGAGUGAGGCCAUGCAAAUUAUUAUGUGACUUGUUAAUCAAUUUGUACUCCUGACCGUAUUUAGACCAUAACAAAAGGGUUGAAUACUUAUUGACUCAAGACAUUUCAGCUUUUCAUUUUGAAUUCAAUUGUGUCUAUGCCAGUGACACAGAAUCUGAAAUGAAUUCCUUUAAAAUUCAGGAUGUAACACAACAAAAAUGUUGAGAAAUUCAAGGGGUGUGAAAAUACCUUCUAAAGGCACAGUCAAUUGAUUGCAUUAAAACAGAUUCAUAUCUUUGGUUUGGUACUGUUGAUUUUAUCAUACACGCCUUUCCAUCGCAGGACUUGCUCUCUUUAUGAAAGCUGCUAGCCACAAACAAAUACAUGGAUUGGACAGUCAAGCUAGCACUCAAAUGAGAGGCAAUCCAUGUCACUAUUUAGAACUUCCUGUGGAGAGAUUAUUUGUUAAAAAUGAUCCAGUCAAAAGUGUGUCCUUUUUCGUAUUGGCCAUAUCUACUGUAAACACUGUCCCACAAGGACAUGAGUUGACAAAUGGCGACUACAGGUUUAUGGAUCGAGAGUUAUAUUGUUUAUGUAGUAUACGCAAGUUCGUUGUGGUUUGUCUUUCGGAGGAGGGCUAUGGGCACAUGUAAUGGCAGCAAAUUGUCCUGGUUCCAUUGAUUUUCAUACAAUAUCGAUGUGACAGAUUAAUAUGCGCACGCUAUUGAUUACAGUAGAUUUCAGUCUAUAUACAUGACGACAGGAAGCAGCAACAGUACAACAGUUUCUACUUAUGUUUUAGGAAUAUUAAUGGUACUAUUAACAAUAUUUUUCAACAUGAUUAGACCUAAAUCAGGUAAAAACUACUGAAUGAGCCCAAAAAAACGUGCUAUGAUUUAUUGAUUUGAAUGAUAUUAGUGAAAUUGUGAAAAGGAGUGUGUCCUGGCUAGCAAGAUGACCAUUUAUUUUUUGCGCCUACUAUAUACCAGAAGUAUUCAAAUCCUACCCUAUGAGUUCCAGACUACUGCUGGUCUUCUGUUCAACCUGGUAAUUAAUUGCAACCACCUGGUGUGCCAGGUCUAAAUCAGUCCCUGAUUAGAAGGGAAGAAUGGAAAAAAACGAAUGCAACUGGCUUCAAAGUACAAAUUUGAAUUUGAGGGCUAUAUAAGAGCCAUGUACUUAGAUAGACAUAUGCUUUUGGGCUACAUAGUUUGAUCUGAGGUCUUUAGAAUGAGUUACUUAACUGGGAAUCUAGAACAGGCAUUUCUCGUAAUGUGCUCGUCCAUUCCUGUAGUUUAGGUGUGUAGUGUGAUAACAUACAUACUGUACCUAGGCUUCUGAAAGGCACGGUCACACAACAGGUUUAGCAGGUCUUUCCUUGAAAAUGAAUCACUACAUUUUUUUCAUCAUAAUCAGUCGAUAUUCUGCGUUAAUAACAAUAGGUCGAUUUGACCCGAGGCAGAGACCAGACCGUAGUCUUCCCACCUCAAGCUACAUUACCCCAUCUAAAAAGUAAAUUAUUUUUAUGAUUACCAUCUAAAAAAGACACUUUAACUGACAUGAUGUGGGCCUAUUGUUACUGUCAAGUGUUUUGUUUUAAAAGCAGUUUGAUUGGCUAAGACCAUCCCAUGUGUUUCUAUACGCCCCUAUCAGGGUAUCU